AAAUUUUAGACUCAUUACGGGGCCAUAAAUCUUGGAGAGCUUGGCUAGUGACCUGUGAGGUUUGGCUCCAAGCUCCAGGAGGUUUCCGAUGACAGGAUAAGGCGUCGGUCCCGGUGGAAGCUUUCUCGAUCCUGCUUUGCAACCUCUUAAAAAGGAAUUUAAAGUUAUGACCAAAACCCAUGUGAAUAAAACCCAUAACAAGCAGCUUAAGAUAUCCAUCUCUCUAGUUAAAACUCUAAGAAACACCAGAGUCAGUGGCCUUUCACCUUCUUUAAAAUAGAAAGUUAUCUCCACUACGCGUCCUUUGGGCCACAGAUGCUGUUAUCUAAAACAGUGGUUAAAAAGUCAAAAUUUGGGACCGGUAGCUAGCUUAUAGCCGCCUUUAAAUUUACCUCCGUUCUUCAACGCAGUCGGUACCGGCCGCGGUUGCCCUUAAUAGAUAAUUAUUAUUAUUAUUUUUGAUUCAAUCUAACACUUCACUUCAUCUCAAUCCGUUAACCAAGUCCUUUGAAUUCAUUUCCUCCGUCACAUCUUCUGCACUUCUGUUGACUGUUUGUUCCAAGUUGAUUUCCGUUUCUCUCGUCCCUGGCUCUCUGCUGACUGCCCUGUCACGGCUACUGUCAAAGUCAAACAGAUUGGGUUGGGCUUGUUUCUUGGCCCAGUUAGCAUUCUUACCACUAUUUUCCACGCAAAAUUUUGAAUUUUAGGUUUUUUCUUUUGUUUUUCAUUUGAAAUCUUAAAUUUUGAAUUUUUUUUAUUUUUGUUUUCCCAUUCCGACGUAACUGGAACAUAAUAGCAAUUUGUUACAUGUAUCAUGUGAUUUUUUUCACUAGAUGCAAGGUGUGUGUGUGUGUAUAGUUUAUAAUUUGAUAUUAGCUCAUGAUCCUUUGUGCACAUUUAUAAAUUCAUCAAAAAUAAAUCAUAUUUAUAUUAUAAAACAAAAGCAUAAAUAUCAUUUGGCCAAAAAAAAAACCUAAAAUAAAAAAAUCAUAUAAAUUCAACUAAUAGUUGUAAAUUUAACUGUAAUAUAAAAACUAUUAUAAAAUAUAAUUUUCACUUAACUCUUUGUAUUCUCUCGAGCCCCCGCCAUUAUGUAAUUUUUUUUUUAUAUUAUAUACAAUAUAAGCUCUUUAUAAUUUUAUAUUAGAUCAUGAUCCUUUGUGGACGUUUAUAAAUUCAUCAAAAACAAAUCAUAUUUAUAUGAUUAAAAAAAACAUAAAUAUCAUUUGGCCAAAAAAAAUUAAAAUAAAAGAAUAUCAUAUAAAUUCAACUAAUAGUUGUAAAUUUAACUGUAAUAUAAAAAAUAGUAUAAAAUAUAAUUUUCGCUUAAUUCUUCGUAUUCUCUCGAGCGUUGCCCGUUAUGCAAUUUUUUUGUUAAUAUUAUAUACAAUAUAAGCUCAAGUUAUACACAAUAACACAACAAAUGCCUAUAAAUAAAUAAAUUUAGGCCAUGUUUUGUUUGAAGAAAGGGGAGGAGAGGAAAAGAGAAGAAUGAAGAGAAAGGGAGAAUAAAUGAGUAGAGAAGAAUAGUGAAAUGAAAUUUCAUUGUUUGGUUUACCAUAAAAUUUGAUAGGAAAAGGAAUUAUAAUUUUUUUUCGUUGGACAAAUUUAUCAUUUGCCUUAAAUACUAAACUAUGUAUAUUAGUAAUGAAAUAUAAUUUACUAUCAGUACCAAACUUUUUUAAUAUCAAAAAGUCCUAAAACAAUUCAUGAUGUAUUAUACACACACACACACACACACACACACACACACACGCAUAUAUAUAUUCACUAUAAUUAAAAUAUAAAUAAUAAUUAUGACAAUAAUUAAUUAAAUACUUUUUAGUAAUUUGUUACAAUCUAACUUAUUCUAAUUCUGAUUCCAAAAUAAAAUAAACACAUCAAUGAGAUUUCAGUCCACUCCGAUUUCGAUUGUUGUAGGUCAAGUAAGCAACUUAUUUUGAUUCUCAUUCCAGCUCAUUCUGAUUCCAGCCCAUUUCGAUUACUGACAAGUAAACACAGCAUAAGUGUGCUAAACUUAUAUUGCUUUCGUUGCCGAAUAUUUUGAUAAGUGUGCGGGGCACUUUUAGAGUGGCUUUUUUUUUUUUUUUUUUGAGUGUCACUUUUGUUUGGUAACGGAUUAAAGGAGAAAAAAAAAGGGAGAGUGGGGGCAUUACUUUUAUCUCAUCCUUAACUUCCGAAAGUGGGAGAGAACAAGGGGGAAAGAGGGGAGUGGGGAGUUACCUAGGGGGGAUUAUUUAUUUAUUUUUUCUCUCUUCUCCAGGGGGCUGGGUCUCUCUUCCUCUCAUGGAAAAUCCUUUCUUUUACACUCUAUUUCAUUUUUCUGCAAAUUACUCAAAAAGCUUUUGGUUUUUAAGGCAAUGUUUAUUAAGCCAUAUGAGUGGUGGCACAAGUUUUUCUAACAAAGGCUUAGAAACUGACUUGAGCGUCGGAGGGUUCACACAGGAAAGACUUCUGGCGCCUCUGACCGUCUUCUAUAAUUUCAGGUAUUCGCAGGUUAAUCGCCGGUGGUUGCAGGACAUCUAGAUGAUUGACCAAUCGAUUCUCUACCAAAUAAAUCUAAUGCUGGUGUAGAAGUAUGAUAUUAAGUCGCUAAUAGACUAGAUCAGAUUUGGGCAUCAACAUUUGGCGCCGUCUGUGGGGAAUGAUACAAAAAGCCAACCUUUUGUCUCUAAUCAUGCACAAAUCACAGCAAGCUCUCUUUUAUUUCUGGAUUCACGUGAAAAAGAAAUGAAUCGAAUCGGUAAAAAUUAAACCAAUGUUGACAUUCAUGAGCUUGAGAUCGGUAAAAUCUGUCUCACAAUUUUCAUUUCUGCUGGUAUUUUCUAUUAAAUUGAUGUGAUUACUUUCGAUUUACUCAUCUUUGUGUGUUCCAUAUUGCAUCUGAAUGAUCAAUUACACAUGUCACAGCCUCAGUAUAGUUUGAGUUUGUUUCCGUAUUGGUAAACUUGCGUAUUCACAUGAGAAAUUUAACUUUCAUAAUAAUUAGAAAUUGGUUGGGAAGCACGAAUUUGAGAAAUGUUGAAUUCCAACGCUAGUUGGUUUAUAGUCAAACUUCUCUCCAGAUCAUGUGCUUGCCAUAAAAUUCUGCACAUAUUUCAAGCUUAGACAAAUUAAGAUCUUAGUUACUUUAAACAUGAUGGCACAUGCACAUGAUCUAUUAACUUUAUAAAUGGAAGACUCACAAUUGGAUUGUGCCACGGUUUUAGCAUAUUUGCUAUAGAUUAAUUCUUUUAAAAUAAAGAUUUGACUACUACUUUGGUGCAGAGAUAUGGUGUUUUACGAUUUUAGAAACAGGUGUCAAAGGAUAUUUGUUAAAAGUAGUGAUACGAGAUCACGCCCAACAAAUGUUCGACGAAAUAAUUGACAGAAUCGAAAAAGUUUCGCAGCCUCAAAUUCUAAGGAACAAGCUCAAGAAUCUGCAGAAGAACAUUCACGAUGGUGAGAUUAAUUGGAUUGGAAAGCAAAUGCAGCAACUGGAAUUGAAGGGAGUGACGCUCGAAAGAACACUGUCUAGGAGCCAAGGACUAAAAUCCAGGUUCGGAUUCAAUUUAUUCAAUAUACUCAUCAAACUAAUUGAGAGCAUGAAUUAAUUUUUAAUCAUAGCUCUAUUAUACUUUUGCAUGAGAGAACAUUAGAAAUUACACAUAUAUAGCUGUCUAUAAAUAAUGGCUGUCAUCCACAUUGCACAAAUUCUCAUAAUCGUUAAUGAGUGUUGGAAGAAGUAUAAUUAGCAUAAUCUGGAUGAAGCCGAGUAUUGGUAUUUUGGCUAACUUUAAUAAAAGUUUUAAAACAAAACAAAUUUUUAUUGAUGAUGAGAAUUGAUAGGCAUGUCUUCAAGCUUCAAAGAAUUGAUGAAGUUGGAUUUUUGUUUCCUUCAUAUUUUAUUCGUUUUGUGCCCGUGUUACAAUAUUGCAAGAAUAAUUCUAAGAAGGGAGCAAAGAAGAGUCAAGCUCGGGAUUUGUUUGAUGAAGUACCAAUGAAAUAAUGCAGAGCACAAUCUCAGGUGCACUUGUUCUAAAACCUCAGUUUUAUAUUUAUCCUUUAAAUCCACUACAUGACUUAAAAAAUCUGAUGGAUGGGGUUUUGACUUAUUAAGUCGUUAAUAGAAAAUAGUUAAGAUUACAUAUUAUAGAAUAUAUAGCACAGUCAUAUAUUAGCACACAAUAUACUUGACCGAAGGAUUGAUAGAGCUUGGGUUAGCAUGAGAUCGUAUUUCCUUGAUACAGUGAUAUGACUUUGCUUAAACUUUUAUGUUACCAUUUAUUUGUUGAUUACAUAUUUUAUAUAAUAUGAUUUAUUUUAUAUAUAAAUUUCAAUAUUUAUAGUGUUAGUAAAUGGUGUUGUGCACCUUUAGCAAAGGUCUUUAAUAAUAUUGCCAACCAAAAUAUUAUAGAUGGUAAUAAAACACCAAGAAUGUUUAUCCAUCAAAGGCCCAAACAUAUAUAAAUAACUAAAGCACAAGUUGUAAAUGCUGAGCUAUUUUCUGGACAAUUUAUAAGUUACAGGUCAGAAAUUAAAUUUUUGAUAGUUUAUUACAGCUGAUCAAUUUGCAGAGCAAAUCCAUAUUUAAGGAUUUAAAGCAAAAACCUCAAAUAAGAGCACAUCAAAGGCAUACAUUUGUAGGAAUCAGAACAUGUUAGAAGUUAUAUUUUGAUUUACAAGCAGUUUUUUCUAUGAAAAUUUAAUUAUUUCUCUAAAUUCUGCUAUGUGAGAUGAGGAUACCUUAUAUUCAUUAAAUUGAUUGUGCUCAUAUUAGGGCUGACGGUAUAACUUAGUUAACCUGAUUUCUUAAAAGUUACUCAAUAUGAGAAUAAUUUAAGAAAGGAGAGCUAGGCUAGCGUUGAGAAGCCAAUCAAAGUUUACUAAUAAGGCAUGCAAAGGCUUACCAAGUCUCAAAGCUUGUUUUAUGGCGAGAGCAGAAGCCAAGCGUGCUAGGAUCUGCCCGACCAAGCGAAGGCGAGCAGACCCUCAAGUGUUAUAAAAAUUCCUAAGGCAUGCAAAGGCUCACUAAGUCUCAAAGCCUGUUUUAUGGCGAGACCAGAAGCCAAGCGUGCCAGGAUCUGCUCGACCAAGCGAAGGCGAGCAGACCCUCAAGUGUUAUAAAAAUUCCUAAGGCAUGCAAAGGCUCACUAAGUCUCAAAGCCUGUUUUAUGGCGAGACCAGAAGCCAAGCGUGCCAGGAUCUGCUCGACCAAGCGAAGGCGAGCAGACCCUCAAGUGUUAUAAAAAUUCCUAAGGCAUGCAAAGGCUCACUAAGUCUCAAAGCCUGUUUUAUGGCGAGACCAGAAGCCAAGCGUGCCAGGAUCUGCUCGACCAAGCGAAGGCGAGCAGACCCUCAAGUGUUAUAAAAAUUCCUAAGGCAUGCAAAGGCUCACUAAGUCUCAAAGCCUGUUUUAUGGCGAGACCAGAAGCCAAGCGUGCCAGGAUCUGCUCGACCAAGCGAAGGCGAGCAGACCCUCAAGUGUUAUAAAAAUUCCUAAGGCAUGCAAAGGCUCACCAAGUCUCAAAGCCUGUUUUAUGGCGAGACAAGAAGCCAAGCGUGCCAGGAUCUGCUCGACCAAGCGAAGGCGAACAGACCCUCAAGUGUUAUAAAAAUUCCUAAGGCAUGCAAAGGCUCACCAAGUCUCAAAGCCUAUUUUAUGGCGAGACCAGAAGCCAAGCGUGCCAGGAUCUGCUCGACCAAGCGAAGGCGAGCAGACCCUCAAGUGUUAUAAAAAUUCCUAAGGCAUGCACAGGCUCACCAAGUCUCAAAGCUUGUUUUAUGGCGAGACCAGAAGCCAAGCGUGCCAGGAUCUGCUCGACGAGCAGACCCUCAAGUGUUAUAAAAAUUCCUAAGGCAUGCACAGGCUCACCAAGUCUCAAAGCUUGUUUUAUGGCGAGACCAGAAGCCAAGCGUGCCAGGAUCUGCUCGACCAAGCGAAGGCGAGCAGACUACAAAAGUUCCAGAAAUCUUCUAAGGCAUGCCAAAGCUCCAAAGUCUCAAAGCUUGUUUUAUGGCGAGACAGAAAGCGAGCAUGCCAGGAUCUGCUCGACCAAGCGAAGACGAGCAGACCACAAAAGUUCUAAAAAUCUUCUAAGGCAUGCAAAGGCUCCAAAGUCUCAAAGUUUGUUUUGUGGCGAGACAGAAAGCCAAGCAUGCCAGGAUCUGUUCGACCAAGCGAAGGCGAGCAGACUGUUGUGGAAAUUUUAAUGUACUCGCAAGCGCACGAAUCUAUUGUAGUAUAGACUAAUGGUGACGAGUGUCGAUCCCACGAGGAGGUGGAUUUUAAUUGUAUAUAGAAUUAAUUUUGUAAAUGGGUGGUUGGAUUUGUGGUGGAAAUGAUUUGGAAUAUGCUAAAACUUAAAUUAAAAUGGCGAGAAUAAAUUCUAAAAUUGGAAUUGAAAUGNNNNNNNNNNNNNNNNNNNNNNNNNNNNNNNNNNNNNNNNNNNNNNNNNNNNNNNNNNNNNNNNNNNNNNNNNNNNNNNNNNNNNNNNNNNNNNNNNNNNNNNNNNNNNNNNNNNNNNNNNNNNNNNNNNNNNNNNNNNNNNNNNNNNNNNNNNNNNNNNNNNNNNNNNNNNNNNNNNNNNNNNNNNNNNNNNNNNNNNNNNNNNNNNNNNNNNNNNNNNNNNNNNNNNNNNNNNNNNNNNNNNNNNNNNNNNNNNNNNNNNNNNNNNNNNNNNNNNNNNNNNNNNNNNNNNNNNNNNNNNNNNNNNNNNNNNNNNNNNNNNNNNNCUGCUGUACGGCCAAGGCGGAUGUACGGUACAGCAGGAAUUACAGAAAAUGGAUCCCAAAAAUGGAUUCAGAGAUAUCGAAUUAGGGGGGAGAGGCCCCCUUUUUAUAGAUACAUGGAGUAAAUCAUGGCCAUCGGAUUAAAAAUAGUUUGGACGCUCAGGAUUGCGCCACGUCAUCAGUCAACAGUCCACGGUUUGAUCACGCGGAUGAACAGUAACACGGUUUGACCCGACUUUGAAUAGUAACGCGGUUUGACUCGGAUGAACAGUAACGCGGUUUGGUUGAAAAUAAUCCUGUGUGAUGCAUGCAUCGUACGCGAGAUUUUUCGUCCACUGAUAUGCUGCCACGUCACCAUCAACAGUGCAUAAGAAUUUUAGUCCAACAGGGUCGUGACACCUCAUCAGUCAAUGCCACAUCAUUGGUCAAUGCCACGUCAUCGAUCCGUCUAUGUGAACAGUGCCGUGAACAGUAACGUAUACAGUCCCGUAUACGUGAAUAGUACCGUACAUGUGAAUAGUGCCAUUUUUUCUUUUAUGCUCCUCCUAAGGUUUUCGACCGUCCUGAGUUCAAAAGUGAUGUCUGUUUUGCCGUCUGAUCUCUCCUUUAUUGUGAAAUGACUAUAAUGCCCCUAAAAUACAUAAAAUACUUAAUUAAAAUAACACACACGUAAUUACAUCACAAGAAGGUUAAAUACAUAAAAGUAAGGGUUGUUAGUAAGACUUGAAAUGUAAAAUGACGGUUUUCUCCUUUAUUAAUAUACAUUUUCUAACACUCAACACAGACCACAAAAGUUCCAAAAAUCUUCUAAAGCACGCAAAGACUCCACAAGUCUCAAAGUCUCAUCGAUGGCGAGAAAGGAAGCCAAGCUCGCUAGAAUCUGCUCGACCAUGUGAAGACGAGCAGAUAAUGAGAAUUUCAAAAAAGUUUCUAAGGAAAGCAAAAGCUUCAAAGUCUCAAAGCCUCCUCGAUGGCGAGACAUGAAGCCAAGCUCGCCAGAAUCUGCUCGACCAUGUGAAGGCGAGCAGACAAUGAGAAUUUCAAAAAAGUUUCUAAGGCAAGUAAAGGCUCCAAAGUCUCAAAGCCUGCUCGAUGGCGAGAUAAGAAGUCAAGCUUGCUAGAAUUUGCUCGACCAUGUGAAGCCGAGCAGAAAGUAAAAAAAAAAAAGAAAAAAAAAGGUACUACAUGUAAAAGGCUUACAGUCUCCAAACCUCCUCGCAGUGAGACGAAGUCAAAGUUUGCCUCUCAUGCCCGACUAAGAUUACGCGAGCAAGAGUUAUAUGGGCGAAAAAUGUUCUAAAGCAGAUAAAUGACUAAGUCUUAAAAACUACUUCAGGUGAGAUAAAUACCCGAACUUAUGAAACCUGCUUUACAUGAUUAUGUGAGUAGGAAAAUGGUAUAUUUAAAGGCAUGUAAAAGUUUAAAACUUGAAACUUUUUUGUUAAUGGCAAGGUUAAUUUAAGCAAUCCCGAGCCGAUUUAUGGCAACCACCUCGAGGUCACUUUAAAAUUUAUAUAGUUUCCAGUCUUAAUUCGUUAAAACUCUCAACACUAGAAACUAGGGGACUGGUGUUUGGUAACGGAUAAAAGGAGAAAAAAAAAGAAGAGUGGGGGCAUUACUUUUAUUUCAUCCUUAACUUCCGAAAGUGGGAGAGAAUAAGGGGGGAAAGAGGGGAGUGGGGAGUUACCUAGGGGGGAUUAUUUAUUUAUUUUUUCUCUCUUCUCCAGGGGGCUGAGUCUCUCUUCCUCUCAUGGAAAAUCCUUUCUUUUACACUCUAUUUCAUUUUUCUGCAAAUUACUCAAAAAACUUUUGGUUUUUAAGGCAAUGUUUAUUAAGCCAUAUGAGUGGUGGCACAAGUUUUUAUGACAAAGGCCCAGAAACUUACUUGAGCGUCGGAGGGUUCACGCAGGAAAAACUUCCGGCGCCUCUGACCGUCUUCUAUAAUUUCAGGUAUUCGCAGGUUAAUCGCCGGUGGUUGCAGGACAUCUAGAUGAUUGACCAAUCGAUUCUCUACCAAAUAAAUCUAAUGCUGGUGUAGAAGUAUGAUAUUAAGUCGCUAAUAGACUAGAUCGGAUUUGGGCAUCAACAACUUUCAAUUUCACUUUAGUCAAGUUUUCAGGUCAUUUUCAUUAAAAAUUUCUUAAGUUUAUUAGAUAAGGAUGAUUGCACUCACAAGUGAAAAAAAUAUAUAGAUGGAUGUUCACACAUCGCCAUUUGGUCAAGGCAUUUCAAUUUCUUCAAUAGUAGCACUUUUCAGAUUAUUUAAUAAAGGAUAUUUAUCUAUCAUUCACCUAAUUAUCUCAUCCUUGAAUUUAAAAUACUCAAUAAUUCAAAUCUUUUUCACUUGCAGUUACAGAAACUAAAAAGAUUCUCCUAAUUAUUUAGAUGAAUCGGCUCUUCGAUUUUUUUUUUAAGAACAUAUUUGUGAACCAACACACUACUUUCAACUUAAGAAAAUUAUAGAAUGAAGAUCAUGUGUGUAUAUUGCUAUUAAGUUUUAUAUGUGUAACAUAUUUGUUUGAUUUUAAAUAUUAAUGUUAUGUGCUAGGUUUGGAUCGAACAACUAUUUAUUAGUCUUAACCCACCUAAAAGUUGACUUAUCUAAUCAUUAAUAUUUAAUUGGAUAGUUGCUACUUGCUAAGCAUAAGAAGAAAACUUACACAAGUAUGAUGAUUUACAUAACAAACAGGGACAAAGCCCUCGGCUAUAACCUUAUUCACGUCAUCGUGGCACAUAAAAGACUAAACUAUAUGUUACUACUUAAAUGGCAAUAGGGAUUGCAUGAAGUGGCUGAGCCUUCUGUAAGGUGAGACCAAACUUCUCUUCCAUGUCCAUGUUAUGUUGAGUAAUUCCAUCUUCAAACUUCCAAUCAAAGGAAUUAAUAAGUGAACCCAACAUUAGAUACAACAUUCUUAUAGCCAACGGCAAACCAGGACAUAUCCGUCGUCCAGCACCAAAUGGUAUUAACUCAAAAUUCUGGCCUUUGACAUCAAUGUCCGACCCCAAGAAUCUCUUGGGCAUGAAAGAACAAGGGUUCUCCCAUAUGCCUUCAUCCCUGCCAAUAGCCCAUACAUUAACUAAAACUUGGGCAUCCUUUGGUAUUGUAUAGCCUGCGACUUGUGUGUUUGUUGAGGCUUUGCGUGGAAGUAACAAGGGAACUGCUGGGUGCAACCUAAAAGUUUCUUUGACUACUGCUUGUAGAUAAGGCAGCCGAAUAAUGUCUGAUUCGUCAAUCGGGUUCCCUUUGCCAAUUGUUUGUUCUAGCUCCAUUCUAGUUUUGGAUAAAGCCUCUGGGUUGCAGAGUAGUUCAGUCAUUGCCCAUUCCAAUGUGUUCGAAGUUGUAUCAGCACCCGCCGCAAACAAAUCCUGUUUGAGAUGGCAGCCAAAGAGAAAUUAAUUGAAUACAUAACUUGUAAUCGAAAGAAGAAAAGAAAAAAAGGAAUUGUAAAGAAGAAAUAUUACAAGAAACAAAUGCUUGAUAUAAUUUCUAUCAAUCUCCACGCUCUUGUCAUCCAUGAUAUUGAGGAGAGUAUCCAAAAUAUCUUUGUAUUCGGUGGAACCAUGUUCUUGUCUGAGCUUCAUUCUUUGAUCAAUCAAGCAAUCAAAGACCUCCAACAUCUUGCCAAAAUGUUUUGUCAUGCGACGCCUUAUACCUUGUGGGUCAAGCUUUUUAAGCACUGGAAAAUGGUCGGACAAGUUAGGCUUUCCAGCUUCCGCCAUAAUACCCCAAACCAUAUCUCUAAACUCUCGCGCAGUAUCUGAACUGUGAUCAGCCAAAUCAACGGAAAAAAUUGUGUUCCAUAAAAAAUUAAGAGUAGUAUUGAAAGCUGCCUGGCCAAUAUCUAUUGCUUUACCGGCCCGGCAAUUUUCUUGAGCGUAAGCAAGAAGUUGUUGGAUUCUUUUGCGCCGGAGGUGUUGAUUAGCAUCGAGUUUCUGAGUGGUGAAAAUAUGUGAGUUGCAUAUUUUUCGAAGAUUUGUCCGCGGUGUCGAGAGUGGCAGCCAGCCCAUCGAGAAUUCAUCGUGCUGAUGUGCACGGAGUGCGUCUGGGACCGUUCGAUUACAGAAAGACGUAUCUUGGUUUUGAAGGAUUUCUCUGGCUGUAGUUGCGGAAGAAAUGACUACUGUGGUCACCUGGCCAAAUUUUAGACUCAUUACGGGGCCAUAAAUCUUGGAGAGCUUGGCUAGUGACCUGUGAGGUUUGGCUCCAAGCUCCAGGAGGUUUCCGAUGACAGGAUAAGGCGUCGGUCCCGGUGGAAGCUUUCUCGAUCCUGCUUUGCAACCUCUUAAAAAGGAAUUUAAAGUUAUGACCAAAACCCAUGUGAAUAAAACCCAUAACAUGCAGCUUAAGAUAUCCAUCUCUCUAGUUGAAACUCUAAGAAACACCAGAGUCAGUGGCCUUUCACCUUCUUUAAAAAAGAAAUUUAUCUCCACUGCAUCUCUUUUGGGCCACAGAUGCUGUUAUCUAAAAGAGUGGUUCAAAAGUCAAAAUUUGUAACAGAAGCUAGCUUAUAGCCGCCUUUAAAUUUACCUCCGUUUUCAACGCAGUGAGUACUGGCUUCUACGACGACGACAAAUGAAUGAAAAGUAGUUUUCUUGUUGCCCUUUUAACGUGCUUGUGCCGAGGUUGCCCUUAAUAGAUUUUUUUUUUAUUAUUAUUCAAUCUAGCACUUCUCUUCAUCUCAAUCCGUUAACCAAGUCCUUUGAGUCAUUUCCUCCGUCACAUCUUCUGCACUUCUGUUGACUGUUUGUUCCAAGUUGAUUUCCGUUUCUCUCGUCCCUGGCUCUCUGCCGACUGCUCUGUCACGGCCACUGUCAAACAGAUUGGGUUGGGCUUGUUUCUUGGCCCAGUUAGCAUUCUCACCACUAUUUCUUUUGAAUUUUAAGUUUUUUGUUUUCCCAUUCCGACGUAACUGGAACAUAAUAGCAAUUCGUUCAUUCAGAAUGGCAAUUACUUAUUUGAUCAAAUCAUUAAGUUAUAAUAUGAAAUUAUAAUCAAUUGUGUCGCGUUAUAUAUCCACCUAAAACGGAAAAAAAAAAUUGGUUUUAUAUCUGUAUCGUGCCAUCGUGUUGUGGCUCAUAUUGCUACACUAUUUGUAACUUCAUUGAACUCACGUUCAAAAUGAUAUAUAUAAAGGCGUAAAAAAAAAAAAAAAAAAAAAAAGGCGACACAAUUGAUCACUAGCUUUACAUUUUGUGUGUAUGCGAGAUCUUAUUAAAAAAGGCUGUACAAAUCAAGUUGAUCACUAGCUUUACAUUUUUCGUGUAUAUGCGAGAUCUUAUUAAAUAUUAAUGUUACGGGGUUACAAUAACCUUAAAAUUUGGACAAGUGAGUUAUUGCCAGUACUUCCCCACUUAAAAGCUGUACAAAUCAAGUUGAUAGUAGCUAAAAGAUAGUUGCUAAAAAUCUGAAUUCACAUUCAAAAUAGAUUUAUUCGAAUAAGAAUAAACAUUGUAGAAGCAUAUGGACUAAGGACAAAGUCCAUGCUACAACCUGGAAAUUCAUUUCAUCAUAGCACAAAAAAAAAAAAAAAAUGCUACUAAUUAAAUGGCAAUAGGAAGAGCACGAAGGGGCCGAGCCUUCUGCAAGGUGAGACCAAAUUUCUCUUCCAUAUCUAUGGUCUCUGGAGUAACCCCAUCUUCAAGUUUCCAAUCAAAAGAAUUAAUAAGUGAACCUAACAUCAAAUAUAACAUUCUUAUUGCCAACGGCAAGCCAGGACAUAUUCGUCGUCCGGCACCAAACGGUAUUAGUUCAAAAUUCCGACCUUUGACAUCAAGAUCUAACCCCAAGAACCUCUCUGGAACAAAAGAGUAUGGGUUGUCCCAUAAGCUAGCAUCUCUUCCUAUAGCCCAUGUGUUGACUAAGACUUGUGCACCAUUUGGCACCAUGAAUCCGGCAACUUCUGUAUCUGCUGAGGCUUUACGGGGAAGUAAAAGAGGAGCUGCCGGGUGCAACCGGAAGGUUUCUUUGAGUACUGCUUGUAGAUAAGGUAAGCGGCUGAUGUCUGAUUCCUCAAUUGGAUUGCAUUUGCCAAUCGUUUGUUCCAACUCUAAUCGGACUUUUGAUAAAAUAUCUGGGUUGCGAAGUAGUUCUGUCAUUGCCCAUUCCAAUGUACUCGAAGUAGUAUCAGUCCCCGCAGUAAACAAAACCUGUUAACAAAUUAAAUGACUCAAAACACUAACACUCAACAAGUGUAAUUUGAAUAAGAAAUAAUUAAACAAAACCUGUUAACAAAUUAAAUGACUCAAAACACUAACACUCAACAAGUGUAAUUUGAAUAAGAAAUAAUUAAACAAAACCUGUUAACAAAUUAAAUGACUCAAAACACUAACACUCAACAAGUGUAAUUUGAAUAAGAAAUAAUUAAACAAAACCUGUUAACAAAUUAAAUGACUCAAAACACUAACACUCAACAAGUGUAAUUUGAAUAAGAAAUAAUUAAACAAAACCUGUUAACAAAUUAAAUGACUCAAAACACUAACACUCAACAAGUGUAAUUUGAAUAAGAAAUAAUUACCAGAAACAAGUGUUUGAUAUCAUUUAUAUCAAUCUCCACGCUUUUGUCUUCACAAAUUUUGAGAAGAGCAUCUAACAUAUCUUUGGAUUCGGUGAAAUCUCGUUCUUGUCUUUGCUUCAAUCGUUGAUCAAUCAAGCGAUCAAAUACAUCGAGCAUCUUGCCAAAAUAAACUGUCAUGCGACGCCUUAUACCUUGCAAGUCAAGAUUCUCAAGCGCAGGAAAAAAAUCGGACAAGUUAGGCUUUCCAGCUUCUUCCAUCAUACCCCAAUUUAUUUGCUUAAACUCUCGCGCAGUUUUUGAUGUGGGAUCAGCCAAGUCAAUAGAAAAAAUUGUGUUGGAUAUCAAAUUAAGCGUAGUGUCAAAAGCAGCUUGGCCAAUAUGUAUUGCUGUACCUGCACGGCAAUUUUCUUGGACAUAAGCUAGAAGAUCUUGGAUUUUCUUACGCCGAAGGUGCUGAUUGGCAUCGAGUUGGCGACUAGAGAAAGCAUGUGAGUUGCAUAUUUUUCGAAAAUUUCUCCACAGUGUCGCCACAGGCAGCCAGGGCAUCCCGAAUUCAUGAUGGCCGUGGGCGUAGAUUGCGUCUGGGAUCGUUCGGUUACAGAAAGAUGUGUCUUGAUUUUGAAGGAUUUCUUUGGCCAUGGCUGCAGAAGAAAAGACAACUGUGGUCACCUGGCCAAAUUUUAGACUCAUUAUGGGGCCAUGAAUCUUGGCAAGUUUAGCAAGUGACUUGUGAGGUUUGUCGCCGAGUUCCAGGAGGUUUCCGAUCACCGGAUAAGGCGUCGGUCCCGGUGGAAGCCUUCUGGAUCCAGAUUUGAAUCCUCUUGAAAAAUAAUUUAAAGCGACGACCAAAAUCCACGAGAAUAGAAGCCAUGGUACGCAGCUUACCAUAUCCAUCUUUAAUCUGGCUCUCUUUUGUUUGAAGCUCUUGUAAACACCAAAUUCAGGUGUGCAUUCCCUGCUUGUGAAGAGGAAGUUAAUUGUUCAUUUAUAAUUAUUUUGAUUAUUCAACAAAAGAAGUGCGUUAUAAAUUGUUUUCUCCAGAGUUGGCAAUUAUUAUUAAGAGGACUCUAUCUUACGUAUAGGUGAGAUACACGCCUCUCACAUCUCACAAAUAUUAUUUAUGAAGGGUAUGUAUCUUCCGUACAUAUAAG
rnacentral:lncRNA from 1 species